rnacentral:rRNA from 1 species
AGAGUUUGAUCCUGGCUCAGAUUGAACGCUGGCGGCAGGCCUAACACAUGCAAGUCGAGCGGUAGCACAGAGAGCUUGCUCUCGGGUGACGAGCGGCGGACGGGUGAGUAAUGUCUGGGAAACUGCCUGAUGGAGGGGGAUAACUACUGGAAACGGUAGCUAAUACCGCAUAAYGUCGCAAGACCAAAGUGGGGGACCUUCGGGCCUCAUGCCAUCAGAUGUGCCCAGAUGGGAUUAGCUAGUAGGUGGGGUAAYGGCUCACCUAGGCGACGAUCCCUAGCUGGUCUGAGAGGAUGACCAGCCACACUGGAACUGAGACACGGUCCAGACUCCUACGGGAGGCAGCAGUGGGGAAUAUUGCACAAUGGGCGCAAGCCUGAUGCAGCCAUGCCGCGUGUAUGAAGAAGGCCUUCGGGUUGUAAAGUACUUUCAGCGAGGAGGAAGGCAUUAAGGYUAAUAACCUUAGUGAUUGACGUUACUCGCAGAAGAAGCACCGGCUAACUCCGUGCCAGCAGCCGCGGUAAU